rnacentral:lncRNA from 10 species
ACUGAAACAGAGACAAGCACCCCAACAGUAGGGUGCUUCGAGGUCCUGGAGGGGAGCCCUGGCCCUGUGGAGAGAGACCGAGUCGUGCAGCGUCCGUGGCCUGCAUUUGAAACUGAAGGGCAAGAGGCUGGUGAGAUCCGAGAGUCAUGCCGCUGCGUGGAGGAACAUGCUGAACCUCUGGAGGAACGGCUCUACCUCCAGUAUCUUUUGUGGCUGGCAGACUCUGAGAUGGCCUUCAGUGAUCCACACCUCCUGGUGUUCACAUCCUGUGAAGUCCCCUCCCUUUGGCGUGAGCCGAGCUAGCAACUUGCUUCUAACCAGUAGGAUGCAUCCAAGUUGAUGCUGUGCCUUCCUCCCGUGAUUACAUUAUGUGGGCUUAGAACUUCUUCCUUGACAACAGAUGGUCUCCCCUGCUGGCUGUGGUGGAGCAGGCUGCCAUAUAGAGAGGCCAUGUGGCAAGGAACUGAGGGUGGCCUCCCCCGGCAGCCAGCAUGCAGUUGAAGCCUCAGUCCCAUGGCCACAAGUAACUGGAUGCUACAACAAGCAGAUGACCCUGGAGGACCCCUCCCCCAGAUGACCCUGGAGGACCCCUCCCCAGUCUAGCCUUGAGAUGACACCCCAGCCUGGGCCAAGACUUU